UCUCUGUCCCUCUCUCGGCGUGCUCCGCCGGGGAGCCGGCCGGGGCGUGCGCUCCGGGCGCGGGCUCGCCACCUCGCUGCCCUGCCGCGGCACACGCUUUGUAACCCUUCUGCGGAGCACUUGCCACAAACGCUCUCUUCCUCCUCUCACGCUUAUCCCUUCUCGCAACCCGAUCCCGCCCUGGGGGAAUGUGUGUGUGUCCCCGGUAAGUUACAACCCACGCUGCGGCCGCUGCCUCCUCGGCCCCAACUCCCGCCGCUUCGCUUUGCCCCCUCUGACCAUUGGCUCGGCUCGGCUCGCCCUGCUUCUCGCCAGUAGCGUAGCUGUGGUUUGCGCUUCCUGCGCUCCCGUUUCGUUAGUUUUAUUAGACACGGUCUCUGGUCUUUACAUCUCAGAGCCCGGCGUAGCUUUGCAGGCUGCCUGGGCUGUUUUUAUUUUAUUUGUUUUUUGGACUGCUGGGUGCGGGCGGGGGGGUAUAAAGUUCCACCGCCUUCCCCUUUGCCUUCUCUGCUUCUCUUCCUCUGCCUCUUUUCUACUUGACUCUGAAACUCGUCUCCUCUCUCCCCUCUCCGGCCUGAAAGGAAGGAGGCUGGCCCUGGCCGCCUCUCCCCCGGCUGCUCCAAGCGCAAACUUUCCUCCGUCCGUCCCCUUGCCCGCUCUCUCCCUUUGUGCUGCCUGCCAGGGCCUGUCACUGCUUCUCGGGGCUUUGCUCGUGCGGCGGUGGAAAGUUUUGAAUCCCCUGGCUUUGCCUGUCGGGUGGGCUCCCAGACUACCUGCCGUGCCUCCCCCUCCUGGGAGCAUCCCAUCGCAUUUCACCUGGGCAAGCCUCUCUUCGUUUUUCAGCGCGGGGUGUGCGUGCGUGUGUGUGUGCCGCGGGUUUUAUUUAUUUAUUAUUUCCCCCUCCCCUCCUGGCCACUCCUGUGUUUGCCUUCUGCACUCACUCCUCUGCGGCCACUUCUGCACCGCGUGCCCAGCUCCUUUCCCCUCCACCCCAACCCCCCUACUCCGCGAAGCAGCGUGCGCCUGGUGUCUAGUGCACCCCCCUCCCGCUUCCCCCUCCCCUCUCCCCCCUGCGAUCACUGUCCAUUGGCUUGUCCUGGUCUCUUUUUCAUGUCCAGCCCCUGAUGAGUGUCCAUUGGUGUUGCCUUCCUCUUCCCUCCUCCCCCUCUCUCCAGCUUGCCCUGCCCAUGUUUUGUAUGUCUCUGUCCAUCCAGGCUCCUGACGUUCAAGUUCGCAGGGACGUCACGUCCGCACUUGAACUUGCAGCUCAGGGGGGCUUUUGCCAUUUUUUUCAUCUCUCUCUCUCCUUCUCUCUCUCUCUCCCUCUCUCUCUCUUUUUUUCUUGCACAAAAAAAAAAAAAAAAAAAAAAAAGCCAUGACUGCUAUCCCACAAUUCAUCUUCCCUGCGCCAUCUUUGUAUUAUUUCUAAUUUAUUUUGGAUGUCAAAAGACAUUGAUGAAGAUAUUUUCUCUGGAGUCUCCUUCCUUUCUCACCCGGCUCUCCCGAUGUGAACCGAGCGGCUCACAAGCCACCGCAGCCACCAACCCACCAUGUCUCGCCGCAAGCAAGGCAAACCCCAGCACUUAAGCAAGCGGGAAUUUUCGCAGCAUCGGGAGCCAAACGUUUUGUAAUGAACACGUUGCCAGAGCCGAACCUCUUGAAGCCAUUCUUACUGAUGAUGAACCAGAGCAUGGCACGUUGGGAGCUCCAGAAGGGGAUCAUGACCUCCUUACUUGUGGCCAGUGUCAGAUGAACUUCCCAUUGGGGGACAUUCUUAUUUUUAUUGAGCACAAACGGAAACAAUGCAAUGGCAGUCUCUGCUUAGAGAAGGCUGUGGAUAAGCCACCUUCACCCUCACCAAGUGAGCUGAAAAAAGCAUCCAAUCCUGUGGAGGUUGGCAUCCAGGUCACACCAGAGGAUGACGAUUGUUUAUCAACGUCAUCUAGAGGAAUCUGCCCUAAACAGGAACAUAUAGCAGGUAAAGAUGAGCCCAGCAGCUACACGUGUACAACUUGUAAACAGCCUUUCAACAGUGCAUGGUUUCUCUUGCAACACGCACAGAAUACUCACGGAUUAAGAAUCUACUUAGAAAGCGAGCAUGGAAGUCCCCUGACACCGCGGGUUGGUAUCCCAUCAGGACUAGGUGCAGAAUGUCCUUCACAGCCACCACUCCACGGAAUUCAUAUUGCAGACAAUAAUCCUUUUAACUUGCUAAGAAUACCUGGGUCAGUAUCAAGAGAGGCUUCAGGUCUUGGAGAAGGGCGUUUUCCACCCACACCUCCUUUGUUUAGCCCUCCCCCCAGACAUCAUUUGGAUCCACAUCGCAUAGAACGUCUGGGUGCAGAAGAAAUGGCUCUUGCAACCCAUCACCCUAGUGCCUUUGACAGGGUGCUGCGACUGAACCCCAUGGCUAUGGAGCCACCAGCUAUGGAUUUCUCCAGGAGACUUAGAGAGUUAGCUGGAAACACCUCCAGUCCACCAUUGUCACCAAGCCGGCCCA